GAAAUGCGAUACGUAGUGUGAAUUGCAGAAUUCAGUGAAUCAUCGAAUCUUUGAACGCACAUUGCGCCCUUUGGUAUUCCAAAGGGCAUGCCUGUUCGAGCGUCAUUUGUACCCUCAAGCUUUGCUUGGUGUUGGGCGUUUUGUCUUUGCUCGCCAAAGACUCGCCUUAAAACGAUUGGCAGCCGACCUCUUGGUUUCGCAGCGCAGCACAAUUUUGCGCUUGCAAAUCAGCAAGUUGGCACUCCAUCAAGAACAUUUUCUUACGUUUGACCUCGGAUCAGGUAGGGAUACCCGCUGAACUUAA
rnacentral:misc_RNA from 1 species